UACGGAGGGUGCAAGCGUUAAUCGGAAUGACUGGGCGUAAAGCGCACGCAGGCGGUUUGUUAAGCCAGAUGUGAAAGCCCCGGGCUCAACCUGGGAACUGCAUUUGGAACUGGCAAACUAGAGUCUUGGAGAGGGGGGUAGAAUUUCCGGUGUAGCGGUGAAAUGCGUAGAGAUCGGAAGGAAUACCAGUGGCGAAGGCGGCCCCCUGGCCAAAGACUGACGCUCAGGUGCGAAAGCGUGGGGAGCAAACAGG
rnacentral:ncRNA from 2 species